UUCACACCUUCCUGGGCUCAGAAAUUCGUCAGCAAGUCUUUCACAGCCGUGUUAAUGUACGGCUAGGAGCUGCAGGUGCCACAGUGAGAAGACACAAUUGUACCUGUAAAUUCCCUGGACAUAUGCAUGGUGAGUGACAGUACAGUUUAUUCCUUUUAAUCUAAGGCUGCCACUAAUCUCUCAAUGAUGCUCCAUGGCAUUUUUGAAGAAGUUCUUCUUCUGUCUGGUACAAUGUCACAGUGGCAGUGCCACACUGACAGAGCAGUGCCUGAGCAACUGUUCCAGAGUACUGCAGCUUGACAGCCAUGUUGCUCAACUUGAGGAGGACCCACACACAUUGUAAGUUGACUUAAAUGUUGUUGCAAUGUCUGUUUUCUGGUGUAUUUAAAUCAAUCUAAAAUUUCAACUGGUUUCACAGUUUUCUCUCUCCUGUUCAGUUCCUCAGAGAGAG